rnacentral:rRNA from 1 species
AUGAGCAACAUCUCUCCUUCAUUCAGCGCCCCCACCCUUCUGGCCACGUCCUCCUCCUUUCGUCAUUUCUUUCCCCUCGGCAGCACCAAGAAGGCCAAGCCUGUCCUCCCCUCUACCCGUCCUGAGCCUCCUAUGCACCGCAUCGAUAUUACCCACUUCAUCAAUUUCAAGUUAGAUCUCGCCGCAAACAACUACGCUGAGUGGACGCGGAAGUUCUACGCUAUCCUCGCCAAAUACGACUGCGCCCACCAUGUCGACCACGAGUCUGAUCCCCGUCUUCAAGAUGCCAAGUGGCGCAACGACGAUCUGACCAUUGUGUUGUGGUUCUAUGCUACCAUUUGCGACGAGCUCUAUCAAGUGGUGAGGGAGCCGGAGAACACCGCGUAUACCGUUUGGGACAAGUUGUACACCUUCUUCCGGGACAACCAGCCCGGAUGGGCCAUCCACAUCCGCGAAGAGUUAAGCGCCACCGAGCAAGGAGACAUGACGGUGGCCGCCUACUGCAAUCGGAUUAAGGCCCUCGCCGAUGCCCUCGACGCAAGUGAACCAGUUAGCGAUGAUAUGUGGACAUUGCAAAUGAUCCGAGGACUCAACAACCGCUUCCAUGUGCUGGCAACUACUCUUCCCAUGCACAGGCCUUUUCCUACCUUUAUCCAGGCCCGUUCCAUGUUGUUGCUGGAAGAAAUCAAUCUUAAUGCAUGUGACAGGGCCAAGGGAUCCUCCACCAUCACCAUUGGCACCAACACCGGCUCCAACUCCACCCCCGGUAGAAGCAACAAUGGGAAUCAAGGCGAUCGCAACGCUUUUUCUAACACCUGGCCUGGACAGUCGGCACAACCGCAACAACGACCCUGGAUGGGCUACUUUGCGCCAUGGGGGGCGCCCUUCCCGUUGCUGAGGCAGCCGCCGCACACUCAGCGGGCCCCUCAAAACGCCCGCGGCGUCCUCAACCCACGCCCAUCUGCUCCAACUCAGGGAUACUCGUUGCUCAACUCCAUGGCAUCCAUCUUUAUGCCGUCGCCUCUUUCGCGGGACCAGUUCUCCGUGAUCGACAGGGCGCCCGGCAACACAAGCUCCACCCCUCCUCCGACAAUGACUAGUACAUGGACUAUGCCGCUAAUCGCAUGUGACGGGUUGCAGAGCCACCAAGGGAAUCAUCGGGAGAUCUAG